ACCUAGGAGAGAGACAAAGUAUGAUCAGUACCCAACAUGGAACUAAUGACGCGGUAUAAAUCGGAUAUUAUUUUCAUUCGAUAGAAAAAGACGGGUUGUUUUCGUGAAUACAUUGUCUGCCAGUGUUUGAAACACACGCCGGCCAAACAGCAAUUUGCCGCGCUUAAAAUUAAAGAUGAUGAUUAGUGCAAACGCACCUGGUCUGGGGCGAUGAUUCCAGGACAAUUGGGGCCAAUCAAUCGGGAUUUGUUUUGUUCGACAAGCCGCCGUUUCACUUUGACCAUAUCUUGUUGAGGAAUACCUUCGGUGAUGCAAACAA